GACGAAGGAUGCAAGCGUUAUCCGGAUUCAUUGGGUUUAAAGGGAGCGUAGGCGGCCCUAUAAGUCAGUGGUGAAAUCUCUCGGCUUAACCGAGAAAUUGCCAUUGAUACUGUAGGGCUUGAGUACAGUUGCCGUUGGCGGAAUAUGACAUGUAGUGGUGAAAUACAUAGAGAUGUCAUAGAACACCGAUUGCGAAGGCAGCUAACGAAGCUGUAACUGACGCUGAGGCUCGAAAGUGCGGGGGAUCAAACAGG
rnacentral:rRNA from 1 species